rnacentral:hammerhead_ribozyme from 1 species
GUACUACUGACGAGUCCCAAACUAGGACGAAACAGCCGUGCAGUAA